rnacentral:rRNA from 1 species
UCCGCCCGGGGACUACGAGCAAAAGCUUAAAACCCAAAGGACUUGGCGGUGCUUUAGACCCACCUAGAGGAGCCUGUUCUAGAACCGAUAACCCCCGUUAAACCUCACCUUUUCUUGUUAAUUCCGCCUAUAUACCGCCGUCGUCAGCUUACCCUGUAAAGGAAACUUAGUAAACGAAAUUGGCUUAACCCAAAACGUCAGGUCGAGGUGUAGCGAAUGAAAAGGGAAGAAAUGGGCUACAUUUCCUAAUUUAGGAAAUAACGAAAUACGAAAUGAAACAAAGUAUGAAGGAGGAUUUAGCAGUAAAUAGAAAAUAGAG